rnacentral:rRNA from 1 species
UCUUCCGCAUGGCGCGAAAGCCUGNCGGNGCGACACCGCGUGUAGGAUGAAGGCCUUCGGGUUGUAAACUACUGUCACUUGGGACGAAAUUUGCGGCGGUGAAUAAUCGCCGCAAUUGACUGUACCAAGAGAGGAAGCCACGGCUAACUCUGUGCCAGCAGCCGCGGUAAUUCAGAGGUGGCGAGCGUUGUUCGGAUUGAUUGGGUGUAAAGGGUGCGUAGGCGGUUUGGAAAGUCGGGUGUGAAAUCCUAUGGCUCAACCAUAGAACUGCAUUCGAAACUUCCAAACUCGAGUGCGAGAGAGGUGAAGGGAAUUCCCGGUGUAAGGGUGAAAUCUGUAGAGAUCGGGAGGAACACCAGUAGCGAAGGCGCUUCACUGGCUCGCAACUGACGCUGAGUGCACGAAAGCGUGGGGAGCAAACGGGAUUAGAUACCCCGGUAGUCCACGCCCUAAACGAUGUUCACUAGGUGUUGGCUCCGUUUCAUUCGGAGUCGGCGCCGCCGCUAACGCAUUAAGUGAACCACCUGGGGAGUAUACUCGCAAGGGUGAAACUCAAAAAAAUUGACGA